rnacentral:rRNA from 1 species
UUGACCUCNAAUCAGGUAGGACUACCCGCUGAACUU